AUUGAACGCUGGCGGCAGGAUUAACACAUGCAAGUCGAGCGAGCGGCGGACGGGUGAGUAAUGGCUGGGAAACUGCCUGAUGGAGGGGGAUAACUACUGGAAACGGUAGCUAAUAGCGAAUACCAUCAGAUGGGCCCAGAUGGGAUUAGCUAGUCGGUGGGGUAAUGGCUCACCUAGGCGACGAUCCCUAGCUGGGCUGAGAGGAUUACCAGCCACACUGGAACUGAGACACGGCCCAGACUCCUACGGGAGUCAGCAGGGGGGAAGAUUGAACAAUGGGCGCAAGCCUGAUGCAGCCAUGCCGCGUGUGUGAAGAAGGCCUUCGGGUUGUAAAGCACUGUCAGCGAGGAGGCGUUACUCGCAGAAGAAGCACCGGCUAACUCCGUGCCAGCAGCCGCGGUAAUUC
rnacentral:rRNA from 1 species